rnacentral:rRNA from 1 species
CAGCACCUCAAGUGGUCAGGAUGAUUAUUGGGCCUAAAGCAUCCGUAGCCGGCGCUGUAAGUUUUCGGUUAAAUCUGUGCGCUCAACGUACAGGCUGCCGGGAAUACUGCAGCGCUAGGGAGUGGGAGAGGUAGACGGUACUCGGUAGGAAGGGGUAAAAUCCUUUGAUCUAUUGAUGACCACCUGUGGCGAAGGCGGUCUACCAGAACACGUCCGACGGUGAGGGAUGAAAGCUGGGGGAGCAGACCGGAUUAGAUACCCGAGUAGUCC